rnacentral:rRNA from 1 species
UACGAAGGGGGCUAGCGUUGCUCGGAAUCACUGGGCGUAAAGGGCGCGUAGGCGGUGUGUCAAGUCAGGCGUGAAAGCCCCGGGCUCAACCUGGGAACCGCGCUUGAGACUGGCACGCUCGAGUUCGGGAGAGGAUGGUGGAAUUCCCAGUGUAGAGGUGAAAUUCGUAGAUAUUGGGAAGAACACCGAUGGCGAAGGCAGCCAUCUGGACCGACACUGACGCUGAGGCGCGGAAAAGCGUGGGGGAGCAAACAGG